AUAAGUUCAAUUAUCGUGCACAAAGUUCCGCUAAUAGAAAAACAGUGGACCUUGAUAAACUGUAUCAUGUGCAGUGUAUUCAAUAUUAUGAUUAUAAAUAAUAAGUUGUUUUGCUGUUUUGAUUAAUGGCCGUUUCAAUUAUCGUCGUUGGACUUACGUUGAGCCUCUGAGUUGAAGACAUUUUUGCUUGGAGUUUCGGCUAGAUUUUUCAUACACAUUUUGUGAGUUGCAGACUAAACUACCCGCAACUCGCCCAUAGCGAGUGUUUUUCCAACAUUGUUCCUGUAUGGAAAAACUAAACGAAACUUCCUCUUCGAGAAAUCCUCCUUUUGAUAAUGGAAAGUCAAAGAUUAAAACCAAUACAUGUACUUAUCAUCAACUUAACAUGUAGAUUGAUGUACCCAUUCAAAAAGAAAAAUUUAUU